GCCGAUGUAGCUCAGGGGCAGAGCACUUCCUUGGUAAGGAAGAGGUCAUGGGUUCAAUUCCCAUCAUCGGCUCGA
rnacentral:tRNA from 1 species